UACGUAGGUGGCAAGCGUUGUCCGGAUUUAUUGGGUUUAAAGGGUGCGUAGGCGGUCCUAUAAGUCAGUGGUGAAAUGCUCUAGCUUAACUAGAGAGGUGCCAAUGAUACUGUAGGACUUGAGUACAGAUGAGGUAGGCGGAAUUGACGGUGUAGCGGUGAAAUGCAUAGAUAUCGUCAAGAACACCUAUAGCGAAGGCAGCUUACUGGGCUGUAACUGACGCUGAGGCACGAAAGUGUGGGGGAUCAAACAGG
rnacentral:rRNA from 1 species